rnacentral:tRNA from 8 species
GCCGAGGUGGCGGAAUUGGUAGACGCACUAGCUUCAGGUGCUAGCGGGCGCAAGCUCGUGGAGGUUCAAGUCCUCUCCUCGGUACCA